GCCUCUGUAGCUCAGUUGGUGGAGCGACAGAUUCGUAAUCUGUUGGUCGCGGGUUCAAAUCCCGUCAGAGGCU
rnacentral:tRNA from 1 species